UCACUCCGGCAGCCACGCGCCGGUGGCAGCGAGGCGGUGGUGUAGAGCGAGCGCGGCCGUUACCCGCCCCGAGGUGCUGAGGGGGCGGCGGCGGCGAAGGGGUCCAUGGCCGCGUCGGACCGCAUGGUGCUGGGGCCGCUGGUGGGCUCCAUCGAUCAGGGCACCAGUUCCAGCCGCUUCCUGGUAUUUAAUGCAAAAACAGCAGAGCUUCUGAGUCACCAUCAAGUUGAGAUACAGCAGAAAUUCCCUAAGGAAGGAUGGGUGGAACAAGAUCCAAAGGAAAUCUUAAAGUCAGUCCAUGAAUGUGUGGAAAGAACCUGUGAGAAACUGCAGCAACUGAACAUAGACAUCACUAACAUAAAAGCCAUUGGAGUAAGCAACCAGAGGGAAACAACAGUGGUUUGGGACAAGACGACUGGAGAACCUCUUUAUAACGCUAUUGUGUGGCUUGACCUAAGAACUCAGUCAACAGUUGAAAGGCUUCUUAAGAGAAUUCCUGGAAAUAACAAAUCCUUUUUUAAGUUUAGGACUGGUCUUCCACUUAGCACCUACUUCAGUGCAGUGAAACUUCGGUGGCUUUUGGAUAAUGUGGAAGAGAUUAGGCAAGCAGUUGACGAUGGAAGAGCAAUGUUUGGAACUAUUGAUUCGUGGCUUAUAUGGUGUUUGACAGGUGGGAAGAAUGGAGGUAUUCACUGUACAGAUGUAACUAAUGCCAGUAGAACGAUGUUAUUCAACAUUCAUUCCUUGGACUGGGAUCCUGAGCUCUGCCAAUUCUUUGAUAUUCCUAUGGAAAUACUUCCAAAAGUACGAAGUUCAUCUGAGAUUUAUGGCCUGAUGAAAAUCUGUCCUAGCCUGAAAUCUGGAGCUUUGACAGGUGUACCAAUUUCUGGGUGCUUGGGUGACCAGUCUGCUGCUCUCGUUGGGCAAAUGUGCUUCCAAGAUGGGCAGGCAAAAAACACGUAUGGGACAGGAUGUUUCUUGCUGUGCAAUACAGGUCAGAAGUCCGUGUUUUCUGACCAUGGUCUUCUAACCACGAUAGCUUACAAACUGGGCAGAGACAAACCUGUUUGUUAUGCAUUAGAAGGAUCUGUUGCAAUAGCUGGUGCUGUUGUUCGUUGGCUGAGGGACAAUCUUGGUAUUGUUAAAACUUCACAGGAAGUUGAAAAACUGGCUGCAGAAGCGGGAACUUCUUAUGGCUGCUACUUUGUGCCAGCAUUUUCAGGACUGUAUGCACCUUACUGGGAACCCAGUGCAAGGGGCAUUAUCUGUGGCCUUACCCAGUUUACAAACAAAAACCACAUUGCCUUUGCUGCACUAGAAGCAGUCUGCUUCCAAACACGAGAGAUUUUAGAUGCAAUGAACAAGGACUGUGGGAUACCAUUAAGUCAGUUGCAAGUAGAUGGAGGAAUGACCAAUAACAAAGUUCUCAUGCAACUCCAGUCAGACAUCCUCUGUAUUCCAGUAGUGAAGCCAUCAAUGCCUGAAACAACAGCUCUAGGAGCUGCUAUGGCAGCAGGAGCUGCAGAAGGAGUUGGAAUUUGGAGUCUGAAUCCUGGAGAUUUGACAGCAGUGACAUGUGAACGAUUUGAACCACAGAUCAACCCAGAGGAAAGUGAAUAUCGCUAUGCCAGAUGGAAGAAAGCUGUGAUGAAAUCUAUGGACUGGGAAACAUCUGAAGCUCCUUCAAAUGUUUUUGGUGUCCUAGUUAAUGGAAAUGGAAUGUGGCUUGGAGGCUUCAUUUGAAGAAAAAUAAAUUAAUUGCACUUGAACAUUCUCUGAAGAUAGGAAAAUAUAAAAAGAGGCCAUGCUGAGCAUCUGCUUUAAUAAUUCCAUGGACAGCAGCAGAAGAGGAAGGGUUACAGCAAACUUGGAAGGCAACCAGAGCAUCUUUUAUGUUCUUUUACUGUCUACUUUCUUUAUUUUACAUAGGACCUGUCAUGAAGAUCUUUCUACUUUCUUUCUUGGGAAAAUAAUUAUACUUCUCCUUUAAUCAGACAACUAUUUGGUGUCUCAUAUGAUUGUCUUCCCCCUCCCCCAUUCUCCCCCCAAAAACAUGGAGAUAUGUUUAUCUUUACAGGUUGAUUUCUGAUGAUUUUUGAAAGAUGUGAUCAUUUCUGUUUAUCUUUCCUAGAAAUACUAGGCCUUCAGUUAGGACUGUUUAAACAGUUAUUAUUUUGGAUGGGAAGAAGAAGAAAAUAGGUGGAUCACUAAGUAUUGUCUAUUUGCUUUUGUGAUGUUCAAUCUUGUUCUAAAUGCUUUGUCAUUACGUUUACUAGAUAAAGUCACCUCUGUAUUUCAGCACAAGAAUUUGCUGCUUGUACUCUGUUGUGUCAGGAUUUGUGUAUAUAAUACCUUUCUCAAAGCUUACAGUCACCAGAAAUCACAGAUAGAUUUAAAAGUGUGUAUCUCUGGAAGAUGCAGACGUGGAAAUGCUUUUUCUCACUGAAAGGCAUCUGAAGGGUGUACGUGAACUCUAAAGAGAUCAUUCCUUUAGCACUCUUCACUGAUUUUCUAUUAUUCAAAAGUAACAUAGAAUUGGAAAUAAGAAAUUGCUCUAGUAUUGGAGCUGAUUUAUUCCAUACUUUGCUGUAAAAUCAAACUAACUUCUCAACUUAAAGCUAUGUUUUCCAAUCAAAUAUCUUUUUCUCCUGUACACUGAAACCUCUUCAAACACUAUAAUUUGCAAGUUUAAGAAGCCAUGUUGGGCCCCCUCUGAGUGCUGCAGUUAGUGGGUUCUCAUAAGUAUUCCUGUAAAGUAUAUUAAGGACUGUCAUAGGUCAGCAAUAGUAGCUGAUAAGUAUUCUAAAUUCAUUAAGUUGAUUUGCACUGUUUUGCAGUUACAAUAAAGUGACAAAUUCAGGUAUCAUCGGAUGACUUGAUAAACCAGUGAGAGCUUGUCUCCAGCACCAGAGACCUUCCAGCGUUUGUCUCCAGCUUCUCCAACAUAUCAAACAGCUCCAGGAGGCUGCUAACACAGGCUACAUGGAUCCCAUUCCUGUGCCUGCUGCUCUCCAUUUUAAAAGAGGACCCAAAAUGAGUAGCUCUGAUGUAGACAUCAGUUGUGCAGCUAUGAAAGCUCAGGUGAGAUAAAUGAUACCCUUAAUGUAAUAAAACAAGCAUUGCCAUCCCCCAUUUCUUCAUCUGCACGUCCCUUCCUUACCUGUUGCUUUUCAUUUUUUCAGUCUUCCCACUGUUUCCAUCCAUAGGAAAGCAAAGCGCUUCCUGCAGAGACCAGCAGAGUCUCCUGCCUCUCAGUGAUCUGGGGAACGCGUGCUCAGGUGGCCAUUUCAGAAGUGACAGGACUUGGCAAACACUUUGCUUCUUCAGCAGUACUGUAGGCUGACCUUAUGUGGACUCCCUACCAGCUGUGGGGGCAGUAACCUCAGAUGCACCAAACAGCCAAAGCUGGUACAGUGCUGCAGCACCUGUCCAAACAGAGUUUUUCUGCCAGUUGUUCCUGGUUCUGUUCUGGUCCUCCUUUUACCUGUAAAUGAGCCUUUAUACAUGAACCAAUACAUUCACAAACAUAGGGCCAUGGUUAGUGGGCACAGUGAUGAUGGAUCAAUGGUUAGACUAGAGGAUUGUGGUGGUCUUUUCCAACAUCAGUGAUUCUGUAGAUCCUGUGGAGACUAGAAGGUAUGCACUGCACCUUCAUCACCACUUUGCAUGAGAAUACAUCUGAAAUCCAUUUUACCUCUUUGUAGAAUGUUUAUGUUGUCAAUGCCUGAGAAACAUAAACCCUAAACUAUCAGAAAACUAAUUUGGUUGCAGUCUGUACCCAUUCAGGUAGGGGGAAAAAAUGAAGAAACUACAGUCAAGGUGAUGAAAGAGAGAGUCAAAAUAAGGUAUUUAAAUUGCUAUUUAUUGCAAAUUAAUAUUAAAAGCAGAUCCAAAAAUUCUGUUGUGUGCAGCAACAGUCAACUCUAAUUCUUUCAGCUGAUCUCUCCUUCCCUGUGUUUUUGUUUAGUAAGUAACCCGUCAGCUCUGAUCAGGAGUGGGAUUUGUUAGUGCUGAGGCAACAAACAGCCCCACAGCUAGCUGCCCUACGGGGAGAGGAGUGGCAAGCUGCCAGAGCCUAGCACUCUCUGGCCAGGCCUUUUCAGAUAGUCCACACAGGGAGGGCUUAAUGUUUCAAUACUCAUUUUACCUGCUUGAAGGUAUUUGAUGAAACAGAGGAUCUUCACGUAGCAGAUAAACUUACCCUAAUCACAACUCAGUAUAGCAAUUGCAGUAUGGAUGAGUGACAGUAAAAACAUGAUUCCCAUUACUGACCUUUAUACACUCAUUGUCAGGAUGUCAGGCAUCCUAAUUGCCAGGAAGGAGCAAGUUGCUUGAAGCCAGGUCAAGCCUGUUGCUUUUUUCCAAGCUAAUUUUGCAGAUUGCUUGGCUUCUGCACUCAAUGUAGGGCUGAACCACGUAGCCACUUGGCCCAUGCUGGUCUGGCUGUCACAUAAAGACAUUCAUGUUCUUCUGGUGAACUCAAGUGAGGUUAUUCACAGCCCAUGAAUAACUCAACUGACAGAGAUACUUGUCUACACAGAAAAAACAAGCCACCUUCCAGUCCCCAUGGUGCUAAGUUCAUCUUCCUUUACAACAGAUGUGGUCGCUCCCCAUGGUUUACACUUUACACAAGGAAAAGCACAUUUUUCUUGCCCAUAUCCUGAAGAUUCUCCAUUGCAGAGGUUUGUUGGCCAUUCACAUAAACUUGACAUAGUGCAGAGAAACACUUUAGAGGGCAGAUAAUUUGAGUUCUUCAGAUAGAUGACAAGAUUAGGAAAACAUGAGAUAAAAACUCUUUUAUCUGUCAAGCUGUGCAUUUGGUCUUUGGCACAAAGAUGGGGAACAGCCAUGCAGUUCUACCACACAAAGCGAGAAAAUUAGGAGGAAACAAACAACAUAAAUUAAAAUAAAUAAAUGAAUAGUAAAUAUUUAAAAAACAAAAACAAAAACAUUUCUUCCAUAAUAUAAGGAACAUUCAUAGAAUGGUUUGGGUUGAAAAGGACCUCAAAGCCCACCUAUCCCAACCCCUGCCAUGGGCAGGGCUGCCCCCCACCAGCUCAGGCUGCCCAGGGCCCCAUCCAACCUGGCCUUGAGCGCCUUCAGGGAUGGGGCACCACAGCUUCUCUGGGCAGCUGUGCCAGCACAACACCGCCCACUAAGGAAAGAAUUUCCUCCUUGUGUUUAAUCCAAAUCUACUAUUUUUUAACUUAAAGUCAUUACUGUUUGUUGCUACAUUCUCUGAAGAGAGUCCCCCCCCAGCUUUCCUAUAGGCUCCUUGCUCUUCUUUUUGAGAGGCGUGUUUUUAUUAAGAAGUUAAGCACAAAGUCUCUACGUCAAAGAGAAAAAUAAAUCCAUCAGGGAGAUGUAACAUUAGAAGUAUGAUGAGCUUUGAGGUUGCUGAAUUCAUACGUGAAUCACAGACUUGGGCACGUUAACCAUCUCUUGUGAAAGGUCCUAUAUCGGCCCUUUCUGACACCACCACAAUGAUGACUCCGGUCACUGAAGAAACUGAACCUCUACCUCUCUACUCCCAGAAUUUGGGAAAACAAUGAAAAGAGAGAAUUUUAAAUGCAUUUGCAUGAAGUGUUCAGCAUGUUAUUUGCUGUUAUGACUGAAGAGUUAGGAUUAUGUUUUUCGUAUGCCUUUAGAUGUACAUUUGUUGAAAACUUGUGUGUGUGUGUUUGUGUGUGCGUGUUGUCAUAUAAAACAGGAGACAAUAAGUUAUUUCCUUGGGGUAAGACACAGGUCCCUGGAUAGAGAACUUCUUUCAAAGUGGUUUCUCUCACUGAACAAAUUUGAUGUCAGCAGAAUUUGUGAGCCAGAGAAAGAGCAACACAGUUAUCUUUCACUUCCAGCUUUAAGGAACAGCUUUGAAAACCACUGGGAAACAUUUAUAUUCCCCACAUUCACUGCUGCAAUAAACCCAGUUUCAUUUUCAAAGCCAGGCAACAGCAUGUGGGAAUUUCACACCCUUGGUGAUUUUUAUAGUUCAUGAAAACAUCUGUAUUUCCUCCUUUGGUGGUUAGGUAAUUUCUGUCACAACCAGAAUACACUUAAAUAGCUUAGCCAUAUUUAAUGUAAUGUUGUGCUAUUACUCUGUGGUCAAUGUUAUCAUUAUGCCUCUUUCCCAAGUUUUAUUUGCAGUGCCCUUCCUGAGGUACUGUAUCUUCUGAUGUGCAUUUUCACUGCUUUGUUACCAGCAGCCCUCUGGGACUGCCAGACCCACAGCCUUGCAGAGAAGAGAAGCAGUGCUUUCAUGCCCCAGAUCUGCCCAUGAAAGGCUCAGACACUCUGCAGCAGGAGGCCAGGACAGCUGCACAUUUGCCUAGCACUUCAGUCAGUGUUUCUGCAUCCUUUCUGAUGGGUGCAGGCACCCUGGCUCUCAGGUCAAGAGACCUAGACAGGCUUCAGCAGCGGGCCCAGGGAAACCUCAUGAGCAAAUCUAAGUGUAGUCUUGCACCUAGAUUGUGGCAAGCCCCACUAUAAGUUGGGGGAUGUAAAGAUGGAGCACAGACCUGUCAAAAAGAACCUAAGAGUGCUGGUGGAAGGCAUGCUGGACACGAACCAGCAGUGAGCCCUCACAGCCCAGAAAGCCAACUGUACUCUGAGCUGCGUCCAAAGAAGCAUGGCCAGGAGGUAAGGGAGGUGAUCCUGCCCCUCUACUCUGUACUAGUGAGGCAUCACCUGGAGUAUUGCAUCCAGAUGUGAGUCCUCAGUACAGGAGAGACAUGAAUCUGUUGGAGUGCAUCCAGAUGAGGGCCACAAAAAUGAUCCAAAGGAUGGAACAACUCUUGUAUGAGGACAGGCUGAAAGAACUGGGGCUGUUCAGCCUGGAGUAGGCUCUGGAGAGACCUGAGAGUCGCUAUUCAGUGUUAAAAGAGGGCUAUAAGAAGAAAGGGGACAGACUAUUUAUGAGGGUCUGCGGUGACAGGGCAAGGAAAAAUGGUUUCAAACUAAAAGAAAAGAGAUUGAGAUUAGAUAUAAGGAAAAGGUUGUGUUUUUUAUAAUGGUAAGGGUGGUGAGGCACUGGCACAGGUUUCCCAAAGAGGUGGUAGAAGCCCUUACCCUGGAGACAUUCAAGGCCAGGCUGGAGGGAGCUCCGGGCAGCCUGAUGUAGCUGUAGGUGUCCCUGUUCACUGCAAGGGGACUUGGACCAGUAAUCUUUAAGGGUCUCUUCCAACUCAAACAAUUCUAUACCAUGAUUCUCAAUUCUUUAUUGAAAACAUGCAGCUGGUGUUUGAAACAACCUCACAAAAACAGAAUUCCUACCAAGGAUUUAUUAGAAAAAAGUAAUAGACACUGUAAAGAAUCUUAAAUGCCAGAAGUUUGCACCAAAUUCUCACUGAUUGAAGAAUGGAAUCUUUCAAACC